rnacentral:rRNA from 1 species
CGUGUAGGCGGCCGAUUAAGUAUGGAGUGAAAGUCCUGCUUUCAAGGUGGGAAUUGCUUUGUAGACUGGUUGGCUUGAGUGCGGAAGAGGUAAGUGGAAUUCCCAGUGUAGCGGUGAAAUGCGUAGAGAUUGGGAGGAACACCAGUGGCGAAGGCGACUUACUGGGCCGUAACUGACGCUGAGGCGCGAAAGCGUGGGGAGCGAACA